rnacentral:rRNA from 1 species
CCUACGGGAGGCAGCAGUCGAGAAUCAUUCACAAUGGGGGAAACCCUGAUGGUGCGACGCCGCGUGGGGGAAUGAAGGUCUUCGGAUUGUAAACCCCUGUCAUGUGGGAGCAAAUUAAAAAGAUAGUACCACAAGAGGAAGAGACGGCUAACUCUGUGCCAGCAGCCGCGGUAAUACAGAGGUCUCAAGCGUUGUUCGGAAUCACUGGGCGUAAGGCGUGCGUAGGCUGUUUCGUAAGUCGUGUGUGAAAGGCGCGGGCUCAACCCGCGGACGGCACAUGAUACUGCGAGACUAGAGUAAUGGAGGGGGAACCGGAAUGCUCGGUGUAGCAGUGAAAUGCGUAGAUAUCGAGAGGAACACUCGUGGCGAAGGCGGGUUCCUGGACAUUAACUGACGCUGAGGCACGAAGGCCAGGGGAGCGAAAGGGAUUAGAUACCCGUGUAGUC